rnacentral:lncRNA from 1 species
AGCUGAUACAAUUAAAAAUAUUUUGCUCUUACUGCCAACAGACACUAUUUUGUCAGAAUACAGCAUGAAUUGUCUAAAGAA